UACGGGGGGGGCAAGCGUUGUUCGGAAUUACUGGGCGUAAAGGGCUCGUAGGCGGCCAACUAAGUCAGACGUGAAAUCCCCAGGCUCAACCUGGGAACUGCGUCUGAUACUGGAUGGCUUGAAUCCGGGAGAGGGAUGCGGAAUUCCAGGUGUAGCGGUGAAAUGCGUAGAUAUCUGGAGGAACACCGGUGGCGAAGGCGGCGUCCUGGACCAACACUGACACUGAGGAGCGAAAGCCAGGGGAGCAAACGGG
rnacentral:rRNA from 1 species